UGAACGCUCGCGGCAGGCCUAAUACAUGCAAGACGAACGGUAAGAUUUUUAGCAAUAGAGAUCCUAGAGUGUCGUAAGGGUGCGUAACACGUAUGCAAUCUGCCCUCAACAGGAGGAUAGCUCCCCGAAAGGGGAAUUAACACUCCAUAAGAUUGUGGUGUGGCAUCACACAGCAAUUAAAACUACGGUGGUUGAGGAUGAGCAUGCGCAUGAUUAGUUAGUUGGCGGGUAAUGGCCCACCAAGACGAUGAUCAUUAGGGGAACUGAGAGGUUGAUCCCCCACACUGGGACUGAGACACGGCCCAGACUCCUACGGGAGGCAGCAGUGAGGAAUUUUCCGCAAUGGGCGAAAGCCUGACGGAGCAAUGCCGCGUGAAGGAGAAGGUUUGUGGAUUGUAAACUUCUUUUAUCAGGGAAGAAUAAAUGACGGUACCUGAUGAAUAGCUCCGGCUAACCCUGUGCCAGCAGCCGCGGUA
rnacentral:rRNA from 1 species